GAUGAACGCUGGCGGCGUGCCUAAUACAUGCAAGUCGAGCGAACAGAUGAGGAGCUUGCUCCUCUGACGUUAGCGGCGGACGGGCGAGUAACACGUGGAUAACCUACCUAUAAGACUGGGAUAACUUCGGGAAACCGGAGCUAAUACCGGAUAAUAUAUUGAACCGCAUGGUUCAAUAGUGAAAGACGGUUUUGCUGUCACUUAUAGAUGGAUCCGCGCCGCAUUAGCUAGUUGGUAAGGUAACGGCUUACCAAGGCAACGAUGCGUAGCCGACCUGAGAGGGUGUUCGGCCACACUGGAACUGGGACACGGUCCAGACUCCUACGGGAGGCAGAAGUAGGGAAUCUUCCGCAAUGGGCGAAGGCCUGACGGAGCAACGCCGCGUGAGUGAUGAAGGUCUUCGGAUCGUAAGACUCUGUUAUUAGGGAGGAACAAAUGUGUAAGUAACUAUGCACGUCUUGACGGUACCUAAUCAGAAAGCCACGGCUAACUACGUG
rnacentral:rRNA from 1 species